AUUGAACGCUGGCGGCAUGCCUUACACAUGCAAGUCGAACGGCAGCACGGGGCAACCUGGUGGCGAGUGGCGAACGGGUGAGUAAUGCAUCGGAACGUACCUUUCAGUGGGGGAUAACGUAGCGAAAGUUACGCUAAUACCGCAUAUUCUGUGAGCAGGAAAGCAGGGGAUCGCAAGACCUUGCGCUGAUUGAGCGGCCGAUGUCAGAUUAGCUAGUUGGUGAGGUAAAGGCUCACCAAGGCGACGAUCUGUAGCGGGUCUGAGAGGAUGAUCCGCCACACGGGAAGUGGGACACGGGCCAGACGCCUGCGGGAGGCAGCAGUGGGGAAUUUUGGAGAAUGGGGGCAACCCUGAUCCAGCCAUGCCGCGUGAGUGAAGAAGGCCUUCGGGUUGUAAAGCUCUUUCGGCCGGGAAGAAAUCGCACGGGCUAAUACCCUGUGUGGAUGACGGUACCGGAAUAAGAAGCACCGGCUAACUACGUGCCAGCCGCCGCCGUAACAC
rnacentral:rRNA from 1 species